rnacentral:lncRNA from 1 species
GCGGGGCCUGCCGCCGCCACCGCCUCAGGGAAGAGGAAGGAGGCCGCGGCUUCGCGUCCCGCCUCUCGCCUGGCUGGCCGUGGGGGGCCUGGACGCAGUGGCCUCCCGAAUCUCCCAGGACCCUAAUAUCGCCCGAGGAUGCUGGGAGGAACGCUGAGCCGACCUCUCCGUUAGGCUGAAGAUUGCACAAACCAUGCUAAUGGCCAGCAUGGAUGGAGGGAGCGUGUGAGAUGUGUGGGGCAGCGUGCUGCAUCUCAGCCAACUCCAGGAGCCAGUUGAUGUGAUGGACUACCUUAAUUGAUUUUUGAAUGUUGAGCCAGCCUUAUGCAUGUGGGAUAAACCCCUGUUGAUCAUGGACAUUUUUAAAUUCUAGGUAUAGAGCAAUAAAAGAAGAAUUCAAGCAAAGGGAUCAGGAAGAGGAUUGCUACUAAGAGGCAGAGAAACCAAUGAAGCCUUUUGCCAUCUCACACUGGAAAGACAAAAAGUCAUAGAGGCUUGAUUUUUAUAAGGAAAGAGAAGUGAGAAACUGACCUCGAUACUUUGUUGGACUUGCCUAAAGACAUUUGCUGAAUUCUCGGGCUGUGCUGGGAUGGAGAUUAGAGGCCAAAUAAAAACCUCUGGAGCUCCCAGGCCUCUACAGUUUGCUGGGUCCCAUUACUUUCUGAGACAGGAAGCAUGCUCAUGGCAAUACCCGGAGUCUCCACUGCAAGACCAGAGUGACGGAGGCAGCAGAGCUCCUCAGCAGGCCAGGAGUCUCCAGAGGCACUGCCGAAUGUCUAAGAAGCAACCUCAUUGUAUUCCCAAGACCUGGGAAUCCAGGUCUCGCAGAUACGAUGAUACAAUCUAUAGCCAGGACAUCUCUUCAUGUGUAGUUUUCAAUGAAUACUAGGAUAAGCAACUAUCCCAGUCUUCCCAGGAUUGAGGGGCUUCUCCAGAUGCUGCACUUCUGGUGCUAAAAAUGAGAAACUGAAAUGAAUUAGUCACCCAAGGAAUGCUGACCCUGUGCUAUAUGAUCACAUUUACUCUUUAAAGCAAUGCUUUGAGGACCUGGCACUGGGCUCGGGGCCGCCCCUGCCCCUGGUCCUUCAGUGUUGCUCAAACUAGAAACAGAAGCCAUGCUGGAAGACAGAGCUGCUGACCUAAGCCCAAAGCCCAGGUAAGGUGCAGACAACAGGCAGGCACUGGAGUGGCAAGGACCAUCACGUGGUUCCUGGGUCCAUGCGUGUUCUGCCCGGGCGACAGCUGGCACUCUGAAACACCACUCACAGCUCCAGUCCUGGCCCUGCCGCCACGUUAGCUUGUGCUCUCAUGCAGUCACUGACCCUCCCCAGACCUCCGUGUUUUUAUCAGGAGAAUGAGAAGCUGGAUGUCAUCGCUCCUUUGCAAUGAUUCUGAGGUACUGCAUUUAGGGAGAAAACCCCACCACACACAUGCUCAAUACAAACCCUAUUUCUGGGGGUAGAUUUGAUUUAAAACGUCACCAUAAACCGUUUAAAGCAUCCAGUAAUUUACUAAUAAUGCGUUUCCUGAUGAGGGGAGGGAAGGCCGCGGUUUCAAUCUCUCCUACUGAUUCAGUGUGUGCUGUUCCCUAAAAUAAAAAUCAGCUUCAUCGAAAGCUGCUGAAAGUUUUAUGUCGCCUUAGCGCACACCACACCUAAACUCAGCAGGACACUGUUUCCUUGUUAGAGGAUACAUAGCAGAGAGUUCCAAAUAAUAGCUCAGCUGUCCAAUGUCUACUUAAUGGAUUAGCAAAGGUAACAAAUGAUAUCUUAUUCCUGGCUCCUUCUGCUGAAAUGCGAUACUUCCAAAGGCUGGAAACCGUUCCCACUUGGUGACCUUCCUCCUUUCAAAGAAUGAACAUAUUUGCUUCUCUCAACCUAGGCCUUUUCCCCUCACCACAGAAUAACCCAAAACAUCUGGAGAUACUGUGGGGUCUCUCUCAAGAAGAUUACACGUUCUUUUCAGCUUUUACUUUUCUGGGAGAUGAAUCUUGACAACUGGAAAUUAGCAGCUGGAGUUAUGGCAACAAGGAGGGCCCACCUCACGGUCCCGGGGGACGUCUCCGUCCUUCUCUUCAACAUCGUCUCUGCCGUUCCCUGCUUACUCUCCCUCCUUCCUUCUUCUUUAUUUCUUUCCUCAAGAUACUUCACUGACCCUUGAGACUCUAAGACACAGAGAAGCUUCCUCCUCCUCCUUCCCGUUUCUAGCAGGGAAAGAGGCCCCUGGAAUAGGAAUUGGGCAUUCCUGGCUCCCAACACGUUUCCUCUGGGCCUGGCCUGAGGCCAGGGCUGCUGCUUAACGGGGCAGGUUCUACCUCAUCUCAAAAUACCCCUGAAGGCCAUCUAGCUCUGGCCUCUGUGUAGGUGUCAGUAACAGCUGGAGAGCUUGAAGGCAGGUGGAACAUGUUCCUCUGUCCCUUCUGUCAUUAGGGGUUUUACAGAGCUGGUCCGCGCCAUCGCUAAUCACUCAUUCAUUCCUUUCACAGUAAUCUUCAAGCAAGGGACCUGUUUGAGUGUCUGCUCCAUGACAGGCGGGGGACUCUUUGCCCAUGGAAGCUCUAGGGCCAUUUUCCAGCUGAGGUUUUAAAAAAAAAGGGAAGAUGUGGGUCAGAGGACACCCACAGAGGACAGACUCCACGUUUUUUUUCUGGAAAGAGCACCAUUUUGCCCAGUUCAUGACCUCUGGCAGUGGGAUUCCUGGAGCUCUUUGUGAAGCUAUCUCAACACUAGAAGACAAUGCUUGCCACGCAGUGUGGCUGGGCGCUGCCAUCCAGCUUCUGUCAGGGUGCGUGUAAGACAUAGGUCCACCAGGGCACAGGCUAGCAUGAAUGAGGUGGGCCCUGUAGCACCAAAAGCUUCCUCCUUUCGGCUCCAUUUUUGCCUCCUCUUCCCUCCCUUCCCCUUCUCUUUGUCUCCCUUCAAUAUUUCUUCAUCUUAUUCCUUCUCUUUCCUUCUUUUCUCUCAGUACCAAAGUCACCUCUCUUUCCUAUCUCUGGUGUGG